GUCAUAUGCUUGUCUCAAAGAUUAAGCCAUGCAUGUCUCAGUACAAGCCAAAUUAAGGUGAAACCGCGAAAGGCUCAUUAAAUCAGUUAUGGUUCCUUAGAUCGUACCCACAAUUACUUGGAUAACUGUGGUAAUUCUAGAGCUAAUACAUGCAAACAGAGCUCCGACCGGAGACGGAAGGAGUGCUUUUAUUAGAUCAAAACCAAUCGGUGGCGGGUUCGCUCGUUAUCGUACAACUUGGUGACUCUGAAUAACUUUACGCUGAUCGCACGGUCAUCGCACCGGCGACGCAUCUUUCAAAUGUCUGCCUUAUCAACUGUCGAUGGUAGGUUCUGCGCCUACCAUGGUUGUAACGGGUAACGGGGAAUCAGGGUUCGAUUCCGGAGAGGGAGCCUGAGAAACGGCUACCACAUCCAAGGAAGGCAGCAGGCGCGCAAAUUACCCACUCCCGGCACGGGGAGGUAGUGACRAAAAAUAACGAUACGGGACUCAUCCGAGGCCCCGUAAUCGGAAUGAGUACACUCUAAACCCUUUAACGAGGAUCAAUUGGAGGGCAAGUCUGGUGCCAGCAGCCGCGG
rnacentral:rRNA from 1 species